UUGAUUGCCUCCCACACACACCCUGACUAGGGUGGGUGAGAAAAAAAAUCCAUGUCAUAGAGACACAUAGAUUGAUUGCCUCCCACACACACCCUGACUAGGGUGGGGGAUCAAACUGCAACAUGCCCUUGCUACAUGCCCUUGACCAGGAAUCGAAUCCGGGACUCUUUCCUGUGCAGGCCAACAUUCUAACCACUGAGCACACUGGCCAGGGCAAGGAGACUGUCCUUUUUAUCAGCCUUCCUUCUUGGCCACACCUCUACUUAACAAAACAGCUUCCUCCUGCCUCCCAGGCUGAGCAAUGGUGGUUUAGAACAUGGUGUUAGUGAGGCUUUUUAAUGGUUUUUUCCCCUUGUAGACCAGCAUCUUCAUCCACUUCUACCAUCACAGAUUUCUUCUUGGCCUCAGCCAGCGUCUGACCGAGUGUGUGCUGUUGAGGGAAGGUGUGCCCAGAGCAGUGUAAACCCAGCGCUCCUGAGGCCAGACUCUCAAGCACACCAGGUCUCAGCAUUGCUGAUCUCUGAGGAGGGCAGAGCUGUGCGUAGCAGGUGGAGCAGUUGAAAGGCCACUGGCCAUUUAUUCAAAAGACAUUUUGUUUUAUAUUGACUUGAUGUGAUUAGUUCAUUUUAGAAUAAAGACCAGACAAAUCCUGUAUUUCAAGCUUGCCAGCACCACUUACUAACUAUUGAUCCUUGAAGAAUCUGUUACCUCUUGGAGCUUCAGUUUCCUCAUCUGCCAAGUGAUGGAUACAGCAGCAAAGCUCUAGGUGGCAGUAAUGUAUCGUGAAGACUCGUCGUGAACUAGGCAGCCAGCAUCCUGUUUCAAGUCUGGAGGCUGAGGAGCACCCUAAGGAAAAUGUGAAUGUGAUCACUGGGUGCCAAGGCUCCCCUGACGCUCUGCGCGCAGGAGAUGAGGACUAUGAUGUCAGCUUCUGAUUUGGAAAACUUUUCCUUCCAAGACUGUCAUAGACACCAUGAGAAAAAAAAAAUGCAUCACUGCCA